rnacentral:tRNA from 2 species
UCCCUGGUAGCUCAAUGGCAGAGCAACCGGCUGUUAACCGGUGGGUUGUAGGUUCGAAUCCUACCCAGGGAGCCA